UACGUAGGGUGCGAGCGUUGUCCGGAAUUACUGGGCGUAAAGAGCUCGUAGGCGGUUUGUCGCGUUGUUCGUGAAAACCGGGGGCUUAACCCUCGGCGUGCGGGCGAUACGGGCAGACUGGAGUACUGCAGGGGAGACUGGAAUUCCUGGUGUAGCGGUGGAAUGCGCAGAUAUCAGGAGGAACACCGGUGGCGAAGGCGGGUCUCUGGGCAGUAACUGACGCUGAGGAGCGAAAGCGUGGGGAGCGAACAGG
rnacentral:rRNA from 1 species